rnacentral:rRNA from 1 species
CAGUCGCCGCGGUAAAACGUAGGUGGCAAGCGUCGUCCGGAAUUAUUGGGCGUAAAGGGCUCGCAGGCGGUUUCUUAAGUCUGAUGUGAAAGCCCCCGGCUCAACCGGGGAGGGUCAUUGGAAACUGGGAAACUUGAGUGCAGAAGAGGAGAGUGGAAUUCCACGUGUAGCGGUGAAAUGCGUAGAGAUGUGGAGGAACACCAGUGGCGAAGGCGACUCUCUGGUCUGUAACUGACGCUGAGGAGCGAAAGCGUGGGGAGCGAACAGGAUUAGAUACCCGGGUAGUCCCUGUCUCUUAUAC